rnacentral:ncRNA from 2 species
CGAGGCCGCGCGGGAGAGCUUCCGCACCGCUGCGGCGGGCGGGACGCCGAAGGAGCAAGUCCUCCCUUGAAUCUCUCAGGCACAGAUACCGCGCGUUCGAG